GACGAACGCUGGCGGCGUGCUUAACACAUGCAAGUCGAACGGUAAGGCCCCUUCGGGGGUACACGAGUGGCGAACGGGUGAGUAACACGUGAGCAACCUGCCCUUGACUCUGGAAUAACAGUUGGAAACAGCUGCUAAUACUGGAUAUUCACGGUCCUCCUCCUGGGGGGUGGUGGAAAGCUCCGGCGGUCAGGGAUGGGCUCGCGGCCUAUCAGCUUGUUGGUGAGGUAAUGGCUCACCAAGGCUUCGACGGGUAGCCGGCCUGAGAGGGCGACCGGCCACACUGGGACUGAGAUACGGCCCAGACUCCUACGGGAGGCAGCAGUGGGGAAUAUUGCACAAUGGGCGCAAGCCUGAUGCAGCAACGCCGCGUGCGGGAUGACGGCCUUCGGGUUGUAAACCGCUUUCACCUGUGACGAAGCUAACGUGACGGUAGCAGGAGAAGAAGGACCGGCUAACUACGUGCCAGCAGCCGCGGUGAUACGUAGGGUCCGAGCGUUGUCCGGAAUUAUUGGGCGUAAAGGGCUUGUAKGCGGUUCGUCGCGUCGGGAGUGAAAACUCAGGGCUUAACCCUGAGCCUGCUUUUGAUACGGGCGGACUAGAGGGAUGCAGGGGAGAACGGAAUUUCCUGGUGGAG
rnacentral:rRNA from 1 species